CGGUUCGCAUUAUUGGGUCAGGAUAGGGCAGGGCAGGGCCGUUUGGCAGGUACAUUUUGUCCCCUGUCCUGUCCCGAUAGUGAGAAUUGG